rnacentral:rRNA from 1 species
UACGUAGGGGGCAAGCGUUGUCCGGAAUCAUUGGGCGUAAAGCGCGUGUAGGCGGCCCGAUAAGUCCGCUGUGAAAGUCCAGGGCUCAACCCUGGGAUGCCGGUGGAUACUGUCGGGCUCGAGUCCGGAAGAGGCGAGUGGAAUUCCUGGUGUAGCGGUGAAAUGCGCAGAUAUCAGGAGGAACACCGGUGGCGAAGGCGGGUCUCUGGGCCGUAACUGACGCUGAGGAGCGAAAGCAUGGGGAGCGAACAGG